rfam:Haemophilus haemoglobinophilus strain CCTG 3714 3714T_ctg_0000012, whole genome shotgun sequence.
CUCAAUGGUAGAGCGUAAAGGGCAACCGCUUGCGGUUGGCUAUGUUCCUUUGUACGUAGUUUGUCACCCCUUUACGCUUUACCGCCAGA